GAUGAAGAACGUAGCGAAAUGCGAUACGUAAUGUGAAUGGCAGAAUUCAGUGAAUCAUCGAAUCUUUGAACGCAUAUUGCGCUCUCUGGUAUUCCGGAGAGCAUGCUUGUUUGAGUAUCAGUAAACACCUCAACUCCCUUUUCUUUUUUGAAAUUGGAGCUGGACUUGAGUGAUCCCAACGCUUUCUUCCAAGAAAGUGGCGGGUUGCUUGAAAUGCAGGUGCAGCUGAACUUUUCUCUGAGCUAUAAGCAUAUCUAUUUAGUCUGCCUAAAAAACAGAUUAUUACCUUUGCUGCAGCUAACAUAAAGGAGACUAGUUCUUGUGCUGACUGAUGCAGGAUUCACAGAGACAGCUUCGGCUGACUUUGUAAACUCGAUCUCAAAUCAAGUAAGACUACCCGCUGAACUUAAGCAUAUCAAUAAGCGGAGGA
rnacentral:misc_RNA from 1 species